GCACCAUCAAGAUCAAGGAUGGUGACCUGCCUGGCGGGCCGGAGCAUCCUCCAGGAACCAUUUGCCAGUCGCUGCACCUAUCAGGUGCAGACAGCAAUGUAGAUGUCGCGCUCGCGCUCGUCCAGGCGCUUCUAGCGACUGACCCUUCCGAGACGGCCCGAGGCAUGGUGCGCCACGCACCACCGGCCGCGGAUGCCACAGUGUAUGC
rnacentral:ribozyme from 1 species